rnacentral:rRNA from 1 species
UACGGAGGGUGCAAGCGUUGUCCGGAAUCACUGAGCGUAAAGGGCGCGUAGGCGGCUCAUGAAGGCUGUGGUGAAAGUCCGGGGCUCAACCUCGGAUCGGCCGUGGCGACUCGUGGGCUGGAGCACUGUAGAGGCGGGUGGAAUUCCGGGUGUAGCGGUGGAAUGCGUAGAGAUCCGGAAGAACACCAGUGGCGAAGGCGGCCCGCUGGGCAGUGGCUGACGCUGAGGCGCGACAGCGUGGGGAGCAAACAGG